rnacentral:lncRNA from 1 species
GCCUGUUGCCUGGUGAAUCAGCCUUGCCAUUCGCUCUCUGCUCUUUCGAGCACGGAUCCAGAUCGAAUGAGUCAUUCAUUUACUGAGCACAUGCUGGGUGCCAAGCACUAGGCUAGCAAGAGCAAGAGGACAAAAAUAUCUACCAUCCUAUGGCUUCCAUUUUCAUCAAGGUCUGAUUUUCUUAACUCUACUACGGUAAGAAGAUGCCCUCCAUCAGCAGGCCGUGUCUGCUGGGACCUCUCUGGAGACUUCCUGAACCCUGUGGAUUUACAGUAAGAUGCAGUUUCCUGGGGAGUAAUUCUGGUGGAUACAAAUUCCGGAGUAUUACACCUGGCUUGCCUGGAGAUGUUACAAGUAGCUGGAUGGAUUCUUCAGCCUGGAUGCCCACUGAAAACAAGGACCGAAACUAAGAGGAUUGUAUCUCUACCCUUGACUCAAUGAGAAUGUUUGUUGUCAUCUCUCGGGCUACCUGGAGCUCCCUCUAAAAUUAUACCCUUUAAGCGUUCCAGAAGGAUUUUGAGAUCCUUUCCUAAAUCAAAGGUGGAAUAUUUGGGGAUUUGGAAAAUUGAGCAUUUUUUUCCCCACUUGCUUGACUGUAAUGCUAACAUGCUCUCUCUGCUCCAACCUGGAGAAGCCAGUCUCUCAGAAGAACCAGUUGUGUUACUUUGCUGUGAGAUGCCUGCCCUAAGAGAGGAGCAGAAGGUCGGAACGGGUCCUCUAAUGUGAUAAUUAG